rnacentral:rRNA from 1 species
AAGACCUUGCGCUUUUGGAGCGGCCGAUGUCUGAUUAGCUUGUUGGUGAGGUAAAGGCUUACCAAGGCUUCGAUCAGUAGCUGGUCUGAGAGGACGGCCAGCCACACUGGGACUGAGACACGGCCCAGACUCCUACGGGAGGCAGCAGUGGGGAAUUUUGGACAAUGGGGGCAACCCUGAUCCAGCCAUGCCGCGUGAGUGAAGAAGGCCUUCGGGCUGUAAAGCUCUUUCAGCCGGAACGAAACGGUUACGGUUAAUACCCGUGACUACUGACGGUACCGGAAGAAGAAGCACCGGCUAACUACGUGCCAGCAGCCGCGGUAAUACGUAGGGUGCAAGCGUUAAUCGGAAUUACUGGGCGUAAAGCGUGCGCAGGUGGUUUUGUAAGUCAGAUGUGAAAUCCCCGGGCUUAACCUGGGAACU